UAUCCUCUCCCUCUCCUUAUCUUUCUCCCUGCCGCCGCCACCCCCUUAUCUUCCCAAUCUCUCUUCUCUCCCCUGGUCUCUCUCACUCUCCCCGAUCUCUCCUCUCUCCCACGAUCUAUCACUCUCCCCUAUCCAGCCGGCGACGAAGACGGGCCGCGAGCUCCCUCUCUGCAAGGCGUGCCGGCCUCCCUGCCAUCCUUGCCUCGCGGCGACCGGAGAAGUAGGCGCCCUGACCUCCGGUGCCUCUCCGCAACGUGCGCCGCCCCCGACCUCAGGCAUCCCCAACCGCCGGCCCCGCUGGAUCCGGCUGCUCCGGCCCCGUCUCCGCUUGAUCCGGCCAACCCAGCCCCGCCGCCGCCGGAUCAGGCCCCUCCGUCGCCGGAUCCGGGCGCCUCUGCACCCUCUCCCUUGAUCUUGGCUCCGCCCCCCGCCACCAUGGAAAGUAGGCCUCCGCUGCCAUGUGACGGCGUUCUCUACCUCCGCCCGCUGUACGGGUGCUGCACUGCUGCUACGUCAACGACUUGUUAUAUGUUCGUUCCGUGAUUUGUUGUAUGUGAUUUGUUGCAUGUGAUUCGUCGAUUAAUUCAUUGAUUUUUGAACUUUUGAUUCCGGGCCUGUGGCCUGCUUUUUUUUUAAUUGACGAAAAUGCCAUCAGUGUCGGGUGUCUAUUUGACCGUCAUUGAUGGGAACAGGUACCACUGUCGCACACGCCACUGAUGGAAAAUCCAUCAGCCGCCAGUAAUCAGUGGCGUGUGCAACACACGCCACUGAUGGCGAUUUUCACCUGACACUGAUGGCAUGUUUUGUACCAGUGACGUCCCGUUCAAUUCAGCAAUACUUUGCAUCUU